rnacentral:ncRNA from 2 species
CUCUGGAAAGUGGCGCGUUGCCUGUAUCGGCUGCGAGUCCACCGAAGAUGUAACCCGGACCUCCCAAGAGAGAAGGGGAUUCUUUCAGGUCCGAUGACAGAG